rnacentral:rRNA from 1 species
AGACGCCAGAAUAAAUCAUGUCAAAUACCCCCAAACACAGGGCCGAACUAAAUGAGCAUUAUUCCAUGUCUUUGGUUGGGGCGACCGCGGGGAAAUAAAAAACCCCCACGUGGACUGGAAUUAUGCUAUUCCACAACUAAGAGCCCCCGCUCUAGUUAACAGAAUUUCUGACCAACAAAGAUCCGGCAACGCCGAUCAACGGACCGAGUUACCCUAGGGAUAACAGCGCAAUCCUCUUUUAGAGCCCAUAUCGACAAGAGGGUUUACGACCUCGAUGUUGGAUCAGGACAUCCUAAUGGUGCAGCCGCUAUUAAG